rnacentral:ncRNA from 2 species
GAUAAGAGUCGUUGAACGGCUCGUAUAGGCUGAGGAUAUGGCUCAGCGUUUCUACCGGCUCCCGAGAAGAGCUGACUACGAUGUCUGACACGUGUGGC